rnacentral:rRNA from 1 species
CCUACGGGAGGCAGCAGUGAGGAAUAUUGGUCAAUGGCCGGAAGGCUGAACCAGCCAUGCCGCGUGAAGGUCAGUGCCCUAUGGGCGUUAAACUUCUUUUGUGCGGGAGCAAGAAUGGUCACGUGGGGCCAGACGAGAGUACCGUACGAAGAAGCAGCGGCUAACUCCGGGCCAGCAGCCGGGGUAAUACGGGGGAUGCAAGCGUUAUCCGGAUUUAUUGGGGUUAAAGGGGGCGUAGGCUGUGAGGUAAGUCAGCGGUGAAAUGCCCCCGCUCAACGGGGGGAAGUGCCAUUGAUACUGCCUUGCUGGACUGCGGAUGCCGUGGGCGGACUGUGUGUUGUAGCGGUGAACUGCAUAGAUAUCACAC